CAGAAUAAUACAUGUUUUCUACUGUAUAGCAAAAAACUAAAACCAUUUCCAACCGUGCGUUUUUUUAUAUUCUGUUUUUCAGGGUGGGCAGGAAAAGAUGCUAAAUAAUCCUGGCUGGUAUCCUGCUUACUGCCAAAGCCUAAAUGGAUCCUAUGCCAUGACUUCUACUUGGACACAGCAAAAGCUUUCUGCCAAUUUAUAAAUAUCCACCUUGCCCCAGACAACCAAACAUUCCAGGACUGGCCAUGCAAAACCAUUGUUUUCUAGAAGCACCCAUGCCUUCAGAAAUAUCUUCUCGUUCCAGCUGCCCUUGACUUCAGAAAAGUCCUCCCAAGAGCCUAUGUCACUGCUUCAAGUCCAAGCCUAGCCACAAAGAAAGAGCAGCACUUCUUCAGUCUUUAUGGCAGAUCCAGUAGAAGGAACGAGAUUGAACAAACACAGACUCCAGUAACCCUACUUUCCAGAGGUGACACAUUUAGGCAACUGGCUGACUAAUGCAGGACCUAUUGACCUCAAUAGCUUUUCUCUAUCCAGAAUUGUCUGUAUUCAGAUUUGGAAAGACGAGACAGAUCAAAAAAAU
rnacentral:lncRNA from 1 species